ACUUGUAUUCUAGCUCAGGUAG
rnacentral:miRNA from 1 species